CUUGCAAAAUAAAAGUAUAAGAGGUCCAACCUGCCCAGUGACUAUAGGUUCAACGGCCGCGGUAUUUUAACCGUGCAAAGGUAGCGUAAUCACUUGUCUCUUAAAUGGGGACCCGUAUGAAUGGCACAACGAGGGCUUAGCUGUCUCCUUUUUCCGGUCAGUGAAAUUGAUCUCCCCGUGCAGAAGCGGGGAUAGAACCAUAAGACGAGAAGACCCUAUGGAGCUUAAGACACCAAGGCAUAUCAUGUUAAACACCCCAAGAUAAAGGACUGAACUGAGUGAAUUAUGCCCCUAUGUCUUUGGUUGGGGCGACCACGGGAGGAACAAAAAACCCCCACGCGGACUGGGGAUACAAUACAUAUCCUUACAACCAAGAGCUGCACCUCUAAGUAACAGAAAUUUCUGACCAAACAUGAUCCGGCAACGCCGAUCAACGGACCGAGUUACCCUAGGGAUAACAGCGCAAUCCCCUUUUAGAGCCCUUAUCGACAAGGGGGUUUACGACCUCGAUGUUGGAUCAGGACAUCCUAGUGGUGCAACCGCUACUGAGGGUUCGUUUGUUCAACGAUUA
rnacentral:rRNA from 1 species